AGGACGAACGCUGGCGGCGUGCUUGAUACAUGCAAGUCAAGGAGAAUUUUAUUUUCGGAUAAAUAGUAAACUGGCGAACGGGUGAGUAACGCGUAAAUAACUUGCCUCAGAGAUUGGGACAACAUUGGGAAACCAGUGCUAAUACCAAAUAAUGCAGCGGGCCCUUCGGGGUAUUUGUUGUUAAAGUGGGCUUCGGCUCACGCUUUGAGAUAGGUUUGCGUCCGAUUAGUUAGUUGGUAGGGUAAUUGCCUACCAAGGCGAAGAUCGGUAGCUGGUCUGAGAGGAUGAUCAGCCACACUGGAAUUGAGAUACGGUCCAGACUCCUACGGGAGGCAGCAGUAAGGAAUUUUGCACAAUGGGCGAAAGCCUGAUGCAGCAACGCCGCGUGAUUGAUGAAGUUUUUAGGAAUGUAAAAAUCUGUCGUAAGGGAAGAAAUGUUUCAGAUAUUAAUACUAUCUGUUAUUGACGGUACCUUACAAGAAAGCACCGGCUAACUUCGUGCCAGCAGCCGCGGUAAUACGAGGGGUGCUAGCGUUGUCCGGAUUUACUGGGCGUAAAGGGUACGUAGGCGUUUUAACAAGUUAUGUGUUAAAUACUUUAGCUUAACUAAAGAACUGCACAUAAAACUGUUAGAAUAGAGUUUGAGAGAGGAACGCAGAAUUCAUGGUGGAGCGGUGACAUGCGUAGAUAUCAUGAGGAAAGUCAAAUGCGAAGGCAGCCUUCUGGCUCAAAACUGACGCUGAGGUACGAAAGCGUGGGGAGCGAACAGGAUUAGAUACCCUGGUAGUCCACGCCGUAAACGAUGAGUACUUGGUGCUGGAAGAUUCGACCCUUUCAGUGCCGUAGCUAACGCGAUAAGUACUCCGCCUGGGGACUACGAUCGCAAGAUUGAAACUCAAAGGAAUUGACGGGG
rnacentral:rRNA from 1 species